rnacentral:lncRNA from 9 species
CUCCAGGAUCAAACAAAUUGGGAAAACAGGGCCCUGGAUCAGCAAGGCUGGGAGCAAAGGGAUCUAAGCAAUGAAGGAUAUGACUGGAGCAGAGACCGUCAUAAGGAAGGUCACAAAUCACAGAUGCAAAGAGGCUACUCAGAUGGCAAGCUGGGAGGGACAAAGAAAAUGGUCUCAUCAAAGUCCUAUGGCAACUAGGCACCAUCAAGACAACAUGUGGUAUAGCUCACUCAAGAUGACCAUUGGGAAUAAGAAAGAGAAACAGCAGACUCGGGCCUGGGAGGCAGAUCUGGUGAGUGUCUGGUGGGCUGAGGGGCCUGGUGGUGACAGCUGCCCUUGCAGAUUGUUUCCAGGAAAGCAAGGCGCUCAGAGACGGCAGGAGGUCUGGGAAGGGCACCAGGUACUGCUGCAUCAGGACCCAGGAUCACGGGGGCGGGGUGGGGGGUACUUGCAGAGAGGAAUUUGGUGAAAAGGCAUUUAGGAUUUGUGGCUUCUCUUGCCCUCCCCUGGAUACUGGUGCUGGCUUAAACUCUUUCAACUGGACCCAGGGCUGCAUUGGGGGACGUGCAAAGAGCAACGGCUGCUGUAGCUGCACCAAAUGAAAUCGAACUACCCUUUGUGUGCGCGCAUGUGCGUGCCUGUGUGUGUGUGUGUGUGCGCGUGUGUGUUAGGGGGUGGGAUGGUUCUGCAUUUUAAAGGGAUGGAUUAAUGGCUAAAUGGCUGUUCUAUGCUUUAAAGGGCCAGCUGUUCAGCGGUUAGUAUUACAAGAUUUAUCUCUUGGAAUGGUUUUUUUAAAUCACCACCCCCCCUUCCCCAGCUGUAGGCUUGUUGUUAUGGGAGAAGAAAAACAUUGUCUGGGUGGAGGAAAAGCACCCGAGUGUGUAACUUAGACGCUUCCUGUACAGCAGACGCCUGGACGAUGCCUCCCUCCCAGGGGUUUCUCUAAAUUUUUUCAAUUUCCCCAACUACCUGGAUAACAUGGAUUCUCCUCAAAAGCACAAGAGACUCCCUGGCAAGCUCCUGGAAAACAGGGAUGCUACUUUCGUUUACAUCUGUGUUAUCUUCACCCUUCUGGCCCCGGCUUGAAGCAGUCCUUAGCUUGACUUCUGGGGCCUCCGCGCACCCCCAUCUCCAGUCCUACUUCUGUCCUCUGCCUCCUACUUCCUUCUCUCGCCCAGACCCUUCCACCUCCGCCUCUCCACGGGCCAUUCCUUCAGCGUGAAUCCUUCUUGCCUUCCUCUCAAGAUGCCUCAUGUGCCCUUUGAAUCAUCGCAGGAGGCCACCUUCCUCCAAAAACCUCCCCUCCUUCCGUCCACUGAUCUCCAAUGGCUCUA